GGCCCAAAUUUCCAGUAGAGUAGAUUAGUAGUAUCAGCUGACUCCACUCAACUAUUCUAUUUCAAGUUUGGGCCC
rfam:Haemonchus contortus, ISE/inbred ISE, WGS project CAVP01000000 data, contig: Hcontortus_12623